ensembl:lncRNA
AAUGGGACAAUCAAUAGCAAUUCACAGUGUGCUGAACAGUAAGAUUUAAUAUUAGCUUAGUCUUGCGACAAGAGGCAAGACACACGUCAAAUGCAGUGGGGCACAGCCAGAGGUGAAAGCCUUUCAGCUGCAUUCAGCAACAGCAUCGUCCUGAACUGGAUGCUGGAGCUGGCCUGGGUGCUUGGGCCAUGACUCAGACCUGGACUCCAGCACCUCUGCUCUCCUCGUCCAUUGUCACUGUGAAGUGGGGCUGAUGUAAAAAGAGUUGAUUUCUACCCUACCAAGUCACAGAACGGUUGGACUGGAAAGGAGUCGGGGGUCAUGUGGUUCAACCCCUCAUUUUACAGGUUCCAAGGAUUAGGACAUAGAUAUCUUCAGGGGGCCAUUAUUCUGCAUAGCCCAGAGCACGCUGACAUCUAGGAAAGAGUCUUCCAGGCAGAGGAACAGCUAGAGCAGAGGCCCAGAGGUGGACGAGCCUGGAGCUGGGAGAAAGCUAACCCUUGCCAAGGACACACUUGACCUUGUCUUCAAAGGUAGCCCUUAAAGGAGCAGUAUAUUUUCUCCAUCCAACAAAAGUGAGAUGAACAAUUCUGCAGUUUUCUUCACAGGCUCAUAAAGCAGAAGCGCUUCUCUGAUAAUCUCUGCUAGAGUAUCCUUUGAGCUUCUUUUGUCCGGGAGCCUGGCUGAAUUUCUCCCAGUAUGUCAGAAUUUGCUUCCCAGGGGCCCGCUUCGUGGAUGAUGGAGUGGAAGGUUUGGCCCAGUCCGAGGUUUAAGACAGCCAAGCAAUUUCUCUGGACAGGCAGCUCUGACUCCAUUUUAAAAUGACUCCUCUAUAGUCACUUUUGUGAAGGUCAUGGUCAAAGAGAUGGAUUAGGGAAACUUCCCUACUCCAGGGCCAGUGUACCUUCUGUCACGUCCUUGUGGAAGCUCCAAGACAACGCUUGGCACAACCUGAACCCUCUGCCAGUGGCCACUCCAGUCUAACUGGUUCCUGUCCUCAGAUGUUAGCUCCAUGAAGACUCUCCACUCUCUCUGGAAGGACCCGAGACAUGGCAACCUUUUUUUUCUGCUAGAGGUGGUCAUGUUUCCAGUAAAUAGAAUUACAAAAUUCCAGCCCUGCUCAGUGCCCUGUUCAGUCUCUCCUUUGUUCCAAUCCCCUAAUUUCAUAUAAAUAAAAACCCUAGCUUUGCUUUUGCUCAUGCUGAGAGCCAUGUUGACUGUAGGUUUGGAAUCUCUUCAAUCAUGAAAUGCAUUUACUGAGGUUACACUCAAAUGAUUGUGGGAACAGUCUGGGAUGAACUUCUAGGAGGGGAAAACAGAUAACAAAGCAGAACCACAGUUCAUGGGAAAGACUGGGAAUUCCCAGAGUUGGAGGAGAAGGCUGGAAUUCUGAGCUUGUGUGGACAUUACAUCAUCCUAUUCCAAUCAAGCAUCUGUUUAUUCGGGUACUCAUUCAUUCAACAAACAUAUUUUGAACACCUCUUUUGGGCUACUUAUCGCAGCUGAAACUGCCACUCCUCAGAGAUAGGAAAUUACUUAAGGAAAAUGCUGUGAGUAGUUUCACUCUCCUCAUAUUAAAAACUUGGGAAAAUAUGCAGAGGUUGAUUCAUUUUUAUAUUGCUUAUAUAAUGCUUACUAUGUGCCAAGGGCUAUUCUAAUGCUUUACCCAUUAACUCAUUUAAUCAUUGGAACGACCCUUUAAGGCCGGUCUAUUAUUAUCCCCAUUUUACACAUGAGGCGACUGAGGCACUAAGAAAUCAAGAAGCCUUCCUGAGCUCACAGAGCUAGAGAGUGGUGGAUUUGGGAUUUAAAUUCACUCAAUUUGGCUCCAGGGUUCAUUCUUUUAGCUACUAAGCUUGCAUCCUCCACUGUGUCAAUGAAGCUCUGCUACAACGACAGGGCUCCCGGGCACAGCCACAGCAGGAGCGGGAGGGAAGUGUGGGGCUGCAACUCAGAACCAGGAGCUUCAACAGGGUCGCAGUGGCUGAAAGGAAACGCUAAAGGCUGUAUUCCUUCACUUGUGAUUGUGUCUAGACUGCAGGGUUUGCUUAUGGUUUCAUGAUGGGCUACUUCCUCAUUAAAACAUGCUGUGUGUGCAUUUGUGUGUGUGUAUGAUCCUUAGGGAAAGGAUUUCAUGGGGCUGAAAAAACCAUAGCCCACUGUUUCUUAAACUCUAAUGUGAGCACGAAUCAUCUGGAGUGGAGCCUGAGAACCUGCAUUUCCAACCAGCUCUCAGGUGAUGCCAAUGCUAGAUCCACCACUUUGAGAAGCAAGGGAAUAGAGGACCAAAGGUUUCAAAGACUUAAAAAAACCCAAACACUGGAACACUUUCUUCCAACCAAAUCUUAUAUGAAGAUUCAAUAAGUAAAAGAUACGAUUGGAGCCAUCUUGCUUGAAGUGAAGGAGGCAGCCAAGAGCCACGCCCCAAAACAUUUUAUUCCCCUCCAAACUUAUGAAACCUCAAGGAAACAAAUGUAAGGCAGCUGUGAAGAAGUCUGGUGAUCUGGACACCACGCCCUCCGCCUCGGCCUUCCACGACGCCUUCUCUGUCUAAUAUGAGUCACAUAUGGCUACUGUACACUUGAAAUGUGGCCAGGAUGACUGAGGAAAGGAACCGUUAAUUUAAUUUAAAUUAACCUAAAUUAAAAGCUUUAACUGUAUAAAAUAUUUUUCUGUUCAACACAACUUUACUGUUUCGGUAGGACAUUUCAUUACAUUGCGUAUGAUCUUACUGUAGUCUACACGUGAACACUUCACCCAUCUAGUCAGUGUCAGGCAGUCAACUCAGUUUGAUUUUUAAAAUAUGCAUCUGAUGUAACUUGUGUUUAUUUGAAUAUUUAAUGCAGGCAAUGUGAGUUGGAGUGAUAUCUACGUGAGUGAUAGCCAUUACAUUUAUUACAAUUUUUUACAUGAUUGCAUUUUAGUUUAAUCGUAAUAUUAAUAAAUUAUUUUUCUAGUUUAAAAAAUAAGUAUGGGCAAACAUUUAAAUUUAAAACGAAGGCACACUACUGCUGCAGAAUCAAGUGGAGAUUCCGAAGCUAGUACUGUGACCGGAACAGUAAAGAAGAAAAGAGACUGGUGCAAAUUUCAGGAUGAAAGGCAGUUGCAAUUUACUGUGGCAGAGCAAAACAAUAAAGCUAUUGAUUGUGUAAAAUAUUUCAAAGAUAAUAAAGCGGAUAAUAUUAAGAGACAUUUUCAGGAAAUACAUAGUGAAUUGGAUAAGAACUUUCCUCUGAAUAGUCAAAAAAGAAUAAACACCUAAAAUAAGAAUUAAUGUCCGAUAAAAUUUGUUAAACUGCUUUUUCAUUUAUUUAUAUAUUUUUAGAUAAAAAUUGUAUGUAUUUAAGGUGUACAGCAUGAUAAUUCAAUAUGCAUAUACACGGUGAAAUGAUCACUAGUGAAGCUAAUUAACAUAUCAUCUCCUCACAUAGUUACCAUUUCUUUGUGCGUGGUGAGCGCACCUGAAGUGUACUCUCUUAGAGUGUUUCCAGAGUUCAAUAGAGUGUUAUUAAGUAUAGUCAUCAUCCUUGUCCAUUAGCUCUCUAGAUUUACUCAUCAUCCUUAACUGCUGCUUUGAACCCGUUGACCAGCAUCUCCCAUUGCCUUAAACUACUUUUAACAUUGUCUGAGCAAGUGACUUUGGCUAGCUGUAGAAUGGCUUGGAUUCUUGCACAAUAAGGAAAAUUAUUUUUAGAUGGACAAAGAGUAAAAUAAAUUAUUUCAGUUAUGGAAAUUUGUUAGAAGAUUAUAAAGGAAAAGACUAAAAAUGAUACUUCAUAAAAGGUGAAAGAUCUUCAAUUAAGCCCCCAAACAAUUGUUAGUAGGAUACAACACCUUUCUAAUAAUAUCAAAGAUAAAUUGAUUCGCAUUUGAAAAACUUCAAGACUUUUCUUUAGCUUUAGAGAAGUUGUGAGACAUAAAAGACACUCCCCAAUCAACACUUAGAUAUGUUUUUUCUCUCAAAGGACUUUCACACAUGCAAAGAAGUGUCAAUUUGUGGCUUAGAAAGUUGAACUCAAGGCAUGAAUAUUUAUCAAAGAAUUUCAGCUAGAUAUGAAAAAAUUUGUUUCUAUCAUGAUGUACUGUGAUCCAGCUAUAUCAGUUUAAAAAUCCAGAUUUAUUGGAGUUUUGCAAUAGAAGACUGAUGUUUCCCUUUUUGCUUCAUCCCACUGAACUAUUUGAGCUCAGUUUUCUGAAGGAGACACUGUGAAAAGUGUCGUGGAUGGAAUUGUUAAUAUUGCUCAUAAGGAUGUGCAAAUGCUAUGAAUCGUCCCCAGUUUAUGGAACUGUUGAAAGAAAUGGAAGACAAAGGAUUUAAUGAAUUGAAAGUUCUUUGCCAAUACUCGUUGUUUGAGUUGUAGGAGAGUUUUGCAAAGAUUUACUGUAAAGUCCAAUUUUUUCUUGAAACGAGGAAUAUUUGCCAAAUGCUCAAUAAUCAAAGACUCAAAAUGGCAAUGUAAUUUGUUUUCUGAUAUUAUACUGCAUAUGAAGAAGCUAAAUUUGAAGUUCCAAGUAAAGGAAAAGCUUAUUUGUGACCUAGCUAGAUAGGCACAAGAAUUGAUGUUGAAAUCAAAACUUUUCAAAAUCCAAAUCAAUAAUAACAAUUUUAUACCUUUUUUCUUUUCUUUUUUUUUGGUCAACGUGGAGG